rnacentral:rRNA from 1 species
UUGAUCCUGGCUCAGGAUGAACGCUGGCGGCGUGCUUAACACAUGCAAGUCGAACGAUGAAGCCCAGCUUGCUGGGUGGAUUAGUGGCGAACGGGUGAGUAACACGUGAGUAACCUGCCCUUAACUCUGGGAUAAGCCUGGGAAACUGGGUCUAAUACCGGAUAGGAGCGUCCACCGCAUGGUGGGUGUUGGAAAGAUUUAUCGGUUUUGGAUGGACUCGCGGCCUAUCAGCUUGUUGGUGAGGUAAUGGCUCACCAAGGCGACGACGGGUAGCCGGCCUGAGAGGGUGACCGGCCACACUGGGACUGAGACACGGCC